GUGGGGAAUCUUCCGCAAUGGACGAAAGUCUGACGGAGCAACGCCGCGUGAGUGAAGAAGGUUUUCGGAUCGUAAAGCUCUUUCGUUAGGGACGAACGUGCUCUUUGUGAAUAAUGAGGAGUAAUGACGGUACCUAAAUAAGAAGCCACGGCUAACUACGUGCCAGCAGCCGCGGUAAUACGUAGGUGGCAAGCGUUGUCCGGAAUUAUUGGGCGUAAAGCGCGCGCAGGCGGGAUAUCAAGUCUGUCUUAAAAGUGCGAGGCUCAACCUCGUGAGGGGACAGAAACUGGUAUUCUUGAGUGUCGGAGAGGAAAGUGGAAUUCCAGGUGUAGCGGUGAAAUGCGUAGAGAUUUGGAAGAACACCAGUGGCGAAGGCGACUUUCUGGACGUUGUCUGACGCUGAGGCGCGAAAGCUAGGGGAGCGAACGGGAUUAGAAACCCUGGUAGUCC
rnacentral:rRNA from 1 species